UUCAGUUCACGGUCCAGAUGUGGGAGAGAGGAGGGGUGCAGCUCAUCCACGCAGCGGCUAAACGCUUCCUGGUCAGCGGGUUUUGAGCUUGGCACCGCGCUGACUCUGCGGACUUAUCGCCCCCGAACGCGUUUGAGUUUAGCGCCGACGGGAAAGUGUCAAGCAGCAGAAAAAAAACGGGACGAGGAUCAACUCAAAAAAACCCUGAGUCACUCCAGCUUUGACCCUCGUCUUGACUGAUUUACCAAAAAGAUCAAAGAACCCACAGGUAUGAACCGAAUCGCCAGCACGAUGGCGUUGCCUUAAUUGUGUGGAAGAGUCGCUCACCCCGUGAACCACGCCAGAGUUCCCUCUGCUGCCAGCA
rnacentral:lncRNA from 1 species